UUGUAUUUAUUUUCCACAUUUUACUGAUAGGUAUGGAUACUUGUUCAAACAUGCAGUCGAGUUGAAUAUCGUAACUAGAUAAUGAUAUCCAUUACCAGUCUAUAUAACCCGAUACUUGUAGAAAGAUUUAGUAUUGUGCUCUAAGUUCGACAAAAGUGAAGUGGUUGAAAGUUUGAAAUAAUAAACAACAAUGGAGUCUUCAUACAACCUGAAAGAUGUGGAAAAAUGUUUCAGACCAUAUAAUUAUUAUAAUUUAUCUGAUGAUGAAGAAGAGGUUUUAAACAUAA